UACGGGGGGAGCAAGCGUUGUUCGGAUUUACUGGGCGUAAAGGGCGCGUAGGCGGUCGUGACAAGUCACUUGUGAAAUCUCCGGGCUUAACUCGGAACGGUCAAGUGAUACUGUCGGACUAGAGUGCGGAAGGGGCAACUGGAAUUCUUGGUGUAGCGGUGAAAUGCGUAGAUAUCAAGAGGAACACCUGCGGCGAAGGCGGGUUGCUGGGCCGACACUGACGCUGAGGCGCGAAAGCUAGGGGAGCGAACGGG
rnacentral:rRNA from 1 species